rnacentral:misc_RNA from 1 species
CAUUUCGAUCAAGAGCAAUUUAAAAACUUUGGAAUAUAUUAAAAAAUAUAUUGUAAAAUUACAUAAUUUUUUCUUGUAGGAUAAAGCUGUAUUCAACGAUUAUUUUACUUUGACCUCUUUUAGUGUCAAAUUAUGUUGGGAAAAAAAGAAAUAAUUAAAAAAUAUAAUGUGUAAAGUUUUUGUUAAGAAAGAAAAUUGUUUUAAAUUUCACAAUUAAACAAGUGAAAAAACCAUGAUAACUACAUAAAUAGUAACACAACAAAUAUCAGUAAAUAUAAGUUUAAAGCAUAUUUUCCUUUUUGUCAAAAUGUCAAAUAACGUAUAAAUCAUGAUUGAUAAGUUUACUAUAAACACUUUAGAAAUCAGUCGAUUCUUAAUAAGCUUUGAUCGCAUUUGCAAUAUAAAUAAGUCUAAUAAAGAACAUAUAAAUUAUAUCUACCAUUCCUAACUGCAACACCAUCGAUAAGGUGAUAACUCACGUCGAUUUUAUGAUAAGACAGGCAUGCCUGUCGUUAUCAUAUUAUAUCGUGUAAUAAAAGAAUUGAUUGGUAAUUUAAACCUGUGUGUCCAAACUGUACAAAAAUAUUUGUAAAAUCCAUAAAAAUAUAUAUGUAUGUGAAUAAGUUUUAAUGCCGUUUAAAUUUACAAAAUACUAUGUUUCUAAAAUAAGAUACGUAUUUGUUGUGUCCAUUAUAUUUUGCGUGAUGCAUCGACUCUGAUUAGUGAAAAAAUAAUAAUAUAUAUAGUCAAUAGUAUAUCGCUUUAAUCAGGAGAUUUUAGUAACCGGAAGAGAACUACAUUUACAAAGGUAUAAGAAAAGCAUUCCGAGCUGUCACAGCACACAAAUGUCUGACAUGCUACUCUGGUAUCAUUUUGCGCUGUUUUAUUUCUAUUCGAGAUAGGGGUAGAAAAAGAGCAAAGGAAGAAGAGAAUGAAGGAAUGCUCGUUGCAAAUAAACAUUUUGGUCUAAAAUAUAUUUUUUCUGUAAUAUUGGCUUUAUGCUAAUUGAGAUUCAUUCUAAAUGUGAUUAAAUAAUAAAGUGUUGUAAAAUAUGAUUGAAAAACCAUUUUUUUAUUUUUGGGGGAUUUUAAAAGUUUAAUAAACGCAAAUUCAAGAAUAGUAUUUAGUAAUUAAAUAGUAAUAAUUUAGAAUCACAUAAAAAUAAUUGAAACUGUAGAAAUAAUUCAUUUGCUACCAUUCGAAUGCAUAAUAUAUGAUUUAUGUCAAUGGCUUUUCUCGCUUACCAGACUGGCAAUGUAAAUGUUGAUUUAAGUGCGCCAUUUGUUAAUGAAUUCGAAACAUUUUAGUCAUUAAGCACAUAUAUCCGAUUCGAUCGUUUCUAUUCACCUCAAGUUUCAUCGUCGUAUGAUUUGAUUGUAAGUCCGAUUACAAAUCCGCGCCAGAUAGGCAGGAACGAAGUUCAAGGGAAACCGGUAAAGAGCAUAUGGCAAAUGCAGAAUAAUUCAAAUUUGCGAUUUUUUUCUUGAAAGCGAGAAUGUUUUUAUUACUAUAAUAAUAUUUCAGAAUAUUUUUACAUAUUUUGUAUUUUAUUUUAGUAUCUACUACAACGCGCACACACGCAUAAUAUAUUAGUAAUACAUUUAUUACGUCUUUUUGGUUUUAACACUUUAGAGAUUAUAACGUGAGUGGGAUUAUAGAGUGAGCGAUUUCGAUAUUUUCGAUAAAAAAGUCGAAAGAAAAACAACGACGCUAUGAUCAUCAUCACGAAAAUGACGAUCAUUUCCCUUGGAUACCGUUUCGUCGAAAUCAAUUAAAAUUUUGCGUGCCAAUUUAGAAUUACUAGUAAGAAAAAUGCAGGCAAUUUGAAACAAUUUCGAGUUAAAUAUAUAAUAUUUCAUUGUGCCGUUUAUAUCUGAUGGAUUGUGAUACGCAUUCUCGGAAAGGAACUAUAAUUAAAUACAUUCCUGUUACAUUCUUCGCAAUGCAGGUUAUUAAGUUCACAUUACAAUCCUCCUGUACAAAUUCUCUCGGCAAAAUUAAUAUUAAAUUAUAAUCUUAGAAGUGUGGGUUCUGGCCCAAUAAAAUUAAUAUUUAUGCCAAUAUAAUAACAAUUUUUCGCCUGUGUUUUUGAUGAGUAAUAGUACCGAUAAUAAGACUUAUCAAGAUGACGCAAUUAUCCAUACAAGACGUAAUAAAGAAUAUUUGCUAAAAUUAGUAGACAUGCCUACUAGACGAACUCCAAAGGUCGAGGCCCUGGUUGUAAACGCUAUACGUAGACUGCAGGAUGUGCAAGGUUCAACAUCACGGGAAAUUAGUAACUAUAUUUCCCAGGAGUACGAUAUUCCUAGCGAGGAGACCAGACGGCAGGUCCAGUUCGCAUUACGACGUGGAUUAUCUUAUGGGAUUCUUAAACGUUCAAGAGGAGGAUACUAUUCGUGCAAUCACGACUCCCUCGGUCCGCUCUCGUUAGAGAGUGGCACGGGCGACGGGGUGACGGAACCAUGUCCAUCUCAACCUUGGCGAUUCGGCGUACGUAAGAGGAGAUUACAGAAACGUAGAAGAAGGCUAGCACAGCGAAGAAGAAGGGAACGAGAGCGGAGAGAGCGACAGCGAAAGGAACGAGGGCGAAGGAGAGGGAGGGGACGUCGCCGAUCACGCGGAAGAUCACGCGCCGGGAGAAGGAGGGGCAGACGUCCCUCUCGAAGACGUCGAAGCAGGCGAAGACGGACCAGAAGAAGAAGAAGAAGAGGAAGAGGAAGCAGAAGAGCAGGAGGAAGAGCCAGAACACGCGCUGAUCCCGGCGCGAUGGAAAUGGAGGCGAUGAGCCUGGCGAAUCCGGAGCCGGUGAGAAGUGACGGCGACAGGAAAGACGAGGAUCCUCAGAAGAGCGAAACUUCUGCAUCCGAGCACUCGGUGGGGCAGCGUUCGCAGAGCUCUGCUCAAAAUUCUCAAAAUACGUGCAAUGAUGAAAAUACUACAAAUGAAUAAUUUUUUUUAAUUUUUUUUUUUUUUUUUUAAAUAAGAGAAGUAGUAUGUGCAUAGAUUACGGUAAGAGAAUUGUUCGACACAGAGGCAGCAAAAUCGAAUUUUACAGAUAUACAAUUUCAUUGCUCAGAUGUCCAAACCUCUACACAAAUUUCGAAGGAUCUAUUUUAUUUAUAUGUCUCUCUUUUAUUGUCAUUUUGUAUACGUUAUAUUAAUUACUACAAUUGUCUUCCCAUACGUGAGUUCUUAAUUCCUCGUUCGUACCGUAAAACCGCGAUGGGGGAAGGGGAGGGGGGAAGAAACGCGAGAUUAAUCGAAACUGUCCGUCGUCACCCGGCGUGAAACCCGAGCCUCCUGAGAAAGCAGCAGCGCGGGGACCCGUCGCGUCCAUCGACAGCCCUGAACGCGGCCUUGCCGGCUAAUGAUAGUCGCGCUAAUGACGAGUCCGCACACGCAUGUAUGCGCGCACCGCGUGACUAUUUCGCCUAGCAACUCUAGGACUAGACGCAAGACGACAACGACGCCGCCGCCGCCGCCGCCACGGUGUUUUGCACCCGCCAGCUGUGAAUGAUAAGUGCAUGCGUGCGCGCGGCGCGUAUGCAAAUUACGUUUCCAGAACAAGCCGGCGAGAUAUUUGAGGGACGGGUUCUUUCGACAGGCUGCAAAUUGCAUCUCCGCUUUCCCGGAUAACCGAAUCUUCGCUUAUAGACAAUCGAUUUCAUAAAAUUAUCCCGCGGAAGAUCGGCAUAUCCUAUAAUUUUCAGCCAAUAAUUUAGAAUUCAAUCCCUGUGACGUCAACAGCCCAUGUGUUCUAUCAAAUUGAAUAUCGAUUCUACAUAUUUACGCUUUGCACAUUCACCGAAUUUAAUUUGAAUCAUCAUUUACGGGAACUCGCACGGAAUUAUCUCGGGUGGGAUUAUUGAACGCCGAUAUUAUCAUCGAUCGAACAUUAUUAUUAUCGAUUCAUUAUACAUGCUUCGCCUCAGAGGAGAAACAUGCAUUUAGAUAUAAGGUAUCUUCGUUUCAAACGGAAGAUGAUUGAAAGGCAAUCGAUUGUAAUCGUGUGGAAGGUCCUCUACAUUUUGUUUACACGCAUAUCGGACGCCGGUAAUAAUUAUGCAAGAUUAAUUUGAUAAAGCAAUCUUUAUCCGUGGUCGGUUGCGUAUUUACGUUGAAUUUCAACGCGGAAGAUAUUUCCCUACAUUUCGAUACCAGAGGCUACGUAUUUGUGCGAUUUGUACAUAAUUUAUUGUAACUUUUUCUUCAUAUAUCAUUGACUAACUGGCCAUAACGGACGGCGGGUGAUUAAUACGGAGAAUAAUAAUUUUUACGCCGAUCGACGGCACCAUUAAUAAACGGUUUUGCAUUCGGAUUAGCUCAACUGUUGAUUGCUUAUCUAUCGGUGGAAAGCUAGAUAUGCUUUAGAAGAGUUAUUAUUAUAGCUUCGAACGAACGGCGACGUUAAAUCAUUGUCGCUGUUCGAGCUUGUCGCUCUUCUACACGCCGCGUACGCAAAUAUAGAGAAAAUAGCUCGCGCCAGCGAUCUCCCGGAAAAUAGGUCUACGAAAGACCGAACGUAUUAUAUACAAUGAUAUGUAUCCCGUUGGUAAAAUAAUGAUUAAGUGAUACAUAACCGGGGCGAUUUAUCGCAAGACUAAUUAUACGUUGUCGCCAUCGUUGUCGUGUCGAACGCUAAUUAAACAUUUACACUUGUGCUUCGACAAGUGUCUGGCGUGAGUAGAGGUGGGGCCCGAAAAACCGGUAUAAUUUCAGUUCAAUCUUCGAUGUUAUACAGAACGAUAAGAAUGGUAAACAAGACACUUCGGUACUUUUUACCGCGGCAUCGGGGGAUCGAACUAAUUGGCUCGGAUCGGACCGGCGAAUGGUGUUGCCCGCCGGCGAAAACACCAUUCGUCUACAUUGCAAAUCUAAUAGCGGAGAGAGGAUCGUCCCUUCGUUUUUCCACAUAGAGAAACGCAGAGGGAAACGCGGACGGAGAGACGUGGGAAAAAGAGAGAAAGAGAGACAGGCCGACGUCGUUUCGCCGCGAAACCGAAAAUACUCAUGUCGGCCGGUAUGUUGAAACCUGGCAUAAGUUCUGGCGGGUUGCCAGAAAAGCGGUACCCGCUUGGAGGCCACGCCAGGCCACGAGCGAUCGUUCUCGACAGCCCGAAUCUCUAACCAGAGGUAAAGGAUGAUCAUUUCAGGAAAAAAAAAUCGAUCCGGGGGCGAACGAUCGAUAACGAGGAUGUUAAUUGUUUUUUUUUUUUUUACUAACUUUUGUUCUUAUAAAAUAAAGUGGAUUUAAUCCGACAAAAAUGUCUCGCAACAAUCUCUCCUUAUCGCUUACUUAAAAUUAACAUCUUUAACGCGCGCAAGUUUACUUGUUAUGGAGAAGCACUCUGAGACUUAUCUAAAUUAAUACCCGUUGAAACUGGAACACUUACUUCACGUUCUCUACCGUUGAUAAGUUUAUUGCUCCUCGUGCAACUUCCUAGCGAGAUAAAUCGCGGCUAACUCGCGUAAGUCGUGGAAGUUUAUCGUUCGCUAUGAAUUGGGAAAUUCCUGUUAGGCGACCUUACGGUUGAUACGUACGAAUACGAAGAAUAACUUUUUUCCGCGCUCUUUUAUACUCUGUAACCAUUAGAAAAAUUUUCGCGGAUGAGUACCGCGACGAGAAACGAGCGAGAAACAUGUGCUAACGAGCGAAAUCGCACGGUGCUAAAUACUUCUCGAGACUCGCAGAUAUCGCGAGGGACCUUGAAGUUAGAAGAUGCACAAGGCUCGACAAAUAAUCUCUCCAAUUGGCCUGUAGGUAAUAAUAGUGAAACAUAAGAAAUAACUUCGGCAAUAAUUGUUUGAGCGUUAUAUAACAACAUUAUUACCGUUCUGUCUUGGAAAAAAAUUGAUGGAUUUGGAAGAUGAACGAAACAGGAAAUAAUUUCCGCGAUACUGAAUUCAUAAUGUUUGAAAUCACGACAAAGAGUAGCGAUAGCGAUAAACGAAUGAUGGUUUUAUCUAGCCUAUAAUAGAAAUUCAUUGCACGCACAACAUUGCGCUUUAAUUCUUUUUAAAGGAUCAAAUUAAUUUUAUCAGCACAAAAAUAAGUAAAAUAUGGAAAAGUACAUUCUUUCAGUUAAUUAUAACGAUGAAGAGAUUUGGCAUUCAUAUCUCAGUAAAAUAAAUUUCUGUGUCUGCUUUUUUUUUAUGAUACGCAAAGAAAUUGUCGAUAGGAAACGAAGUAAUUAACCUUUACCUUGAUCUCCGUACAUUUGAACGAUUUAAACGGCAUCGAAAACUAACUGCCGACGAAAUGGCAGAUGUUGAAGCCAACUUGGAACGGCCGGGCAGCAUCUGGUGCACCAUAAAGUUGGCACUAUUAUAAUUAAUAUUAUUACAUUGUCCGAAGAACGAUUGUGGGAGGUACACGCGUCGCGAGCCAAUUGUUCCUUAUUCUAUCUUCUAUCAUAUUAAUAAAUGACUCUCGCGCCGCACGGCCGACCAGCUUCGUCCAAGCGCAAUAUAUCUAAACAACAGAUCUCGUACGCCAAAGGUGUUAUCAGAUAACUUUUAGCAUACUUUUAGUAGAUUAUUUAAUAAUUAUUUUUAAAAAAGCAUUUAUCUAGAAUACAGUAAACGGAAAUUUUUACGUACGAGUAAAGUAUAUAUUAAUAAUAAUUAUCGAGGAAUCGAAACGAACAAUUAAUCGCAAUCGUGGUUGACAUAAAACAUAAAUUAAAUAUUAGAUCACGCGGAUUAUUUCCUCAGCUGCGUCACACGCGAAGCAUAGCUCGACUGUGCUGAGCCAUGUUCAAGUUGCCGGUACUCUUUUUCUGGUCUUCCAGCCUAUCCAUCAAACGGAUUGACGUGUGUACGGUCCUGGCACGCCAAAAAUAAUCGUCCAACAUAUUGUGAAAGAGCACGAACCGCGGUAGAAGAGCGGACCGUAAUGCCAGUGCUAAACUUUCGACACGGUUCAUCUGCCGAUGAUUACCGAAAGCGACAGAUACACUCGAAGUAUGCGUAAAGUCUUUGGUCCUCGACGCCAUUAGCCGAGCCAUUAAUGACAAUUCAAAUCAGAGGAUCAGGGUGAUUGAAAGUGACGUCGCAAAUUUUACGGGCGGCAAGAAAUUAAACGCAAAAACUUGUAUUUUCAACCACUAAUGAUUGAUAGCUUCGGAAAUGAAAUAUGAGAUUGUCAUUUUAUUACGGAUACAGUAACACAUGCUGAAUAUACUUUUUCUGACCACAUCAGACACGUUAAAUAUAGAAAGGAAAAGAGACAAAAAGCUAAGGAAAAAAAUCACGAUGUAUAUUCUUUUCCGUAGGCAUAUUUUUAUCGUAAACGUUUUAAUAAAAUCGCAGGUUUAUCUUUUGGCAAGAAACGAAAAUUAUAAAUAGGUAUUUGUGUAAUUCGUUAGUGUAAUAAUAGCUAAAGACCGACUCUAAGCAAUACAAUAAUAGCAAGCUAUGUUCAUUUGCUUUAUGUUUUAUUGACAAUAUACGCGCGAAUCUGUAGUCUGUCUUACGACGAGACAAUAGAGAACGAAGAGCGAUGUAAGUAUAUCGAUCGUAGGAAAGUGAAUGAAAAAUGAAACGGCGCUUCGCACGCGACUUAUCGGCGUCUACUUGCCGGCUUGCAUUUCUCGUCGUCGACAGUCGUCGGGUCACUAACAAUGACGUCUGCGACAGUGACCAUAAGUGACAUCGAUCACUCACAAGUGUAUAGAAGCAAAGUAUACCGAUCUUUUAUUCGAAGUAAAAAGAAUGUAAAAGAUCGAUCGCUCUUUACGUUCUUACGUUUGCGUGUUAAAUAUGAUUUUAUUUUUAAAUAUUUUACUUGAAAAUCGCGCAUUUUAUUUUAAAAUAAAAAUAGCUUCUUUUUAAAGCAUUAUUUUUAAUCUACAUGGACUAAUGAGGCAAUAGUAUUGUAAGAAAAAAACAUAUGGGGCUUAGAGGUGGGGAUCACGAAAGAAACAGACGAUCAAUUCGACCCCAAUUAAUUUUAAGUAACAUCCAUGGUGAUCCUUAAUUGAUAAAUGUGUGUUUGAGUAACGUUUGCAUUAUGCGGUGAGUUGGCAGAUGGAAAAGAGCCAGGCGGAAUUAUCAGUAGGAAAGGCAAACGGGGGGAGUGAUGACACGGUAGAAAACCUGUGGGAACAAUCGGAAGAUAGAGAAACGGAGGUAUGCCAUUAUACGGCGUAAUUGGCCGAAUUGGAAAGUCUGGGGCCUUCCUGGCUCUUUGCCCUUCUACUGUUACUCUCGUUUAUAUCCCUCCAUAUUGAUCGGCAUAAAUACGAAGUGCAGUUUGCCCCGUCCCUUCGGGAGCUCCCGGCGCGUCUUGUGCACGUCUCCGCAUAAUGUAAUAUCGCCCAGUAGACCCAGUACCUUAAUCCUAAACUAUGACCACCGGGUUUUGCCAGAUCCCAAAGUGAACUUUCGCACUUAUUCAUAUCGAUCAAUUGGAGCGAAUUUUUUCCGACUGUUGUAGGCCGCGUUUGGAAGCUCAACUUUCCGCAUACGAUCGUGUAUUAAUUUGUAUCCCAGAUAUAAAUUAUCACUUUUGUUUAUUAUAGCAACGUGAAUUUCACACGUAGAUAAUCGAUUACUUAAUUAUUAUUAUAUUCAUAGCUCAUACAUAUGCGCAUACGUGAGAGCAAAAAAUGGCACGUGGCCUAGAAUGAAGAGAUACUAUCUCGUACGAUGUAAAAAAAAAAAAUAAUAAUAAAAGUGCUGUAAUGAUGCUAUAGCUACUUAAAAAAAAUCAUUGCAUUUUCAUGCUGACAUAUCACGACAGUCGCUGUCAUAAUACGAGUCGCUGGAAGAGCUUAACUCUGCGAUGUCGUAAUACCGAAAAUAAAUAGAGUCGCGUCGCCGUGGCUACAACCACGCCGUGCGUGGAUGAAAGGAUUUAUUCUUACGCCGUUGUAGUAUCAAAAAGUAACGCGAAGUGUCGCUUUGCUGUCGUGAUAUAUCAUGCGUGUUUGUAGCCACAUAGUAUCUUUUAUCGCGAGAAGAUAUCGCGACGACGCAUUUUUCCCCUCAAACUCGAAUGCGUGGCAACGCGAACAGAGUGCCAAUUGAAUUCGAGGCCGAAUUAUUCUAGCGGCAGUUUAUUUCUGCGCCGAAAGUUUUACGUAUCGCGGAGAAUAAAGCGAGCGGAGUAAUGGAGGAGAGAUAAAAUUAAUCGUCGAUCCGGCUGUAUAACGAGCGCGAAAAAAAAAGGGGAGUAAUCGGACACGCGGCAUAAUUUUUUUCGUUCGUUUUUAUCUCGAAGAAACGAGAACCGAGCCCACUUCAAGUAAUCAGCAUUUUGCGUAAUCGAGAAAGCGAUUCGGCUUUCUUAUCUAACCGAUGAAAGGUGCAAUAUAUAUUAUCGGGCAGAGUCGGAAGAUUUUCAAGCGGUUGACCUCUUCCCCUUCGCGUUUUUCGUAAAUACAAUUAUUUAAUCUUGCAUUACGCUAAUAAUCCGAUUCAGUGAGGUAGCAAAUUGGGGACAGUUUCCUGAGUCAACAUAACGAGUUACUUCCCAUUCGGCUGUGAAACCAACAUCGCUCGUAACGAAAUGAAUUACGCAUUGCAAAAAUUACAUCAUCCGAUUGCAACUUACAUCAAACGUUUGCAGUGUCGCGACUGGAAAACGCGACUCCUAAUUAGCCGGAAAAAAAAUAGACGGAUUAAGAGUAAUUGACUUUGCAGCAUUAUUUUCUAGCGCAACUUCACGAAACGAAUUUCUAGGCCAAAUUUUUACAGUUCACAUAUUUCUCAUAAAGAGAUCAUUCUUUACACCUAGACUUAUUGGCGUACGACUUGUUGGUUUUUUUUCUGCGUAUAAGAGACAGAGGAGGGGGGGAGAUAUUUAUUAUGAUAAAUUAUCAAAAA